rnacentral:rRNA from 1 species
CGUGUAGGCGGCCCUGCAAGUCAGUCGUGAAACCUAUCGGCUCAACUGAUAGCUUGCGAUUGAAACUGCAGAGCUUGAGUGUAGAAGAGGGGAGUGGAAUUCCCAGUGUAGCGGUGAAAUGCGUAGAUAUUGGGAGGAACACCAGUGGCGAAAGCGGCUCCCUGGCCUGUAACUGACGCUGAGGCGCGAAAGCGUGGGUAGCAAACA